rnacentral:rRNA from 1 species
UACGGGAGGCAGCAGUGGGGAAUAUUGCACAAUGGGCGCAAGCCUGAUGCAGCCAUGCCGCGUGUAUGAAGAAGGCCUUCGGGUUGUAAAGUACUUUCAGUCGUGAGGAAGGUGUUAAGGUUAAUAACCUUAGCAAUUGACGUUAGCGACAGAAGAAGCACCGGCUAACUCCGUGCCAGCAGCCGCGGUAAUACGGAGGGUGCGAGCGUUAAUCGGAAUUACUGGGCGUAAAGGGCACGCAGGCGGUUAAUUAAGUUGGAUGUGAAAUCCCCGGGCUUAACCUGGGAAUGGCAUUCAAGACUGGUUAGCUAGAGUCUUGUAGAGGGGGUAGAAUUCCAUGUGUAGCGGUGAAAUGCGUAGAGAUGUGGAGGAAUACCGGUGGCGAAGGCGGCCCCCUGGGACAAAGGACUGGACGCUCAUGUGCGAAAGCGUGGGGAGCAAACAGGGAUUAGAUACC